rnacentral:misc_RNA from 1 species
AGCAGCCGCGGUAAUUCUAGCUCCAAUAGCGUAUAUUAAAGUUGCUGCGGUUAAAAAGCUCGUAGUUGAAUUUCGGGACCAAUAUGUCGGUCGUGCCUCGGUACGUACUGGCAUCGUUGGUUUCUCCUUUCUGAAGAACCAUGAUGUCAUUUAUUUGGUGUCGUGGGGAAUCAGGACUGUUACUUUGAAAAAUUAGAGUGUUUAAAGCAGGCUCACGCUUGAAUACGUUAGCAUGGAAUAAUGAAAUAGGACGUUUGAUUCUAUUUUGUUGGUUUCUAGGAUCGACGUAAUGAUUAAUAGGGAUAGUUGGGGGCAUUAGUAUUCAAUUGUCAGAGGUGAAAUUCUUGGAUUUAUUGAAGACUAACUACUGCGAAAGCAUUUGCCAAGGAUGUUUUCAUUAAUCAAGAACGAAAGUUAGGGGAUCGAAGACGAUCAGAUACCGUCGUAGUCUUAACCAUAAACUAUGCCGACUAGGGAUCGGAUGAUGUUAAUUUCUUAAUGACUCAUUCGGCGUCCG